AAGUUUUGUGAUUCCAUUGAGUGGUUACAGAAAGGUGAACGACAAACUCACAUUUCCUUGACUACAAGUCUUGUGAAGAAUUUAAAUGUAAUAUUAAACUCGGAUGCUAGAACAGAGAAGUGACUGAAACACAAGCACUCCGUAUACAUAUACAAUGGCUGCAUUUACAUCGUGUGAGACAGAAAGCCCCAGAGAUGCCAGCCUGCAGUUUAUGGUACACCCCACUGCUUCUGUGCCUUCAGGAUGACAGCAUUAUCUAAUGCACAUGGACAGGGUCUCCACCAUCUUCAAAGAAAGCCUUGAAAUCAAUUCUAAGUAGUUACUAUUUAAAGAGAUUGCAACCAUCCAAAUUUUCUGUUGUCUUACUUUGUCCAGCACAGUAGAGCAUAUGUGUUGUACACAAUUUUAUAUUAUUUAUAUUUGACUGAGGUUUUUUUUAUGUUUUAUGUCAUUUCUGUUCUUGACCAUGCCUCAAUCCUAUACCAUCUCUAUAUAAUCACACACUGCCGUUAGGCCACACCCCUAAGCUACUUUAUAGUGAGAAGAUUAUCAAAAUAAGAUUACAUUUCUGGGUGAAAGAAAACAGAACAAUUGAACUUUAGUAAAUGAUGAGCUUGGAAAGGAGUCUUAGUAGUACCAUUGUAGAAUUGCAUAAAAUGAACUCUCUUGGGAAGCCAACCUUAUUGACCCAAUUGAUGAUGAGGGAUGGACAUCUAUUUGGUCCAGAAAUGCUAAAACCUCUAUAAGUGUAGCCAUAAGAGAGAAAUUCAUGCUGGAGACAAUGCAGCGGGACGGGUAUAUUUUUCCAUACUUGGUGGUCCUGUCCCAUUAUUAGCUCUUUUACUGGGAUCAAGUAUGGGAUCUGAUUUCAUGGCCCACAGGUCUGUCUCUGUCACAAGAUGCUUCUAUAGCACUCUUGAUUGCCCCAGUCCAAUUUGCUAGUAAAGACCAAUACAAACUAGUGGUCUAUUAUUGUAAUGCUGGCAAAUCCCUGAUAGCAAAGAAGUGGAGAUCUCCUGCAGCCCCAUUGGUGGCCCAUAGGGCCCAGGUUAAUUUUGUGGCCUCAAUGGAAUAUAUUUUGAGCAUAUAGAAUAAUGCUGUGACCACUUUUCACAAAGUCUGGUCCCUUACGGUGUCAGUUUCAAUCCUCACCUCUCCAUGAUCUCUGCUAGCCUCCUUUCCAUCUUUUUUUUCCUCCCCACCCCUUCUGUUUCAGUUUUUUUCUUUAUAUUUCAUAUGAUCUUUUUGGUUUUUUACUCAUCCCCCACCUUGCUUCUGCUUUAUAGUUUUUUUUUUUUAACACCUACCCUGGAUUGGCCCCUACUAAGUUCAUUCAACUUAUCCGCUAUGCUUAUGGACCUCUGGUGGUUUAUUUUCGCUAUACAGGUUUUUUACUGAUUUUUUUUGUGUGUGUGUAUCCCAUUUCACUUGUUAUUAUACCUAUGAUGUGUC